CCCGAUGUGCCGGAAGGUGAAAAUUUUUUGCCUCAAGAGGAGCUCGCGUCUGAUUAGCUAGUUGGUGGGGUAAAAGCGUACCAAGGCAACGAUCAGUAGCUGGUCUGAGAGGAUGAGCAGCCACACUGGGACUGAGACACGGCCCAGACUCCUACGGGAGGCAGCAGUGGGGGAUUUUCCGCAAUGGGCGAAAGCCUGACGGAGCAAUACCGCGUGAGGGAGGAAGGCCUUUGGGUUGUAAACCUCUUUUCUCAGGGAAGAAGAUCUGACGGUACCUGAGGAAUAAGCAUCGGCUAACUCCGUGCCAGCAGCCGCGGUAAUACGGAGGAUGCAAGCGUUAUCCGGAGUUAUUGGGCGUAAAGCGUCCGCAGGUGGUCUUUCAAGUCUGCUGUCAAAGACCAGAGCUUAACUCUGGGCAGGCGGUGGAAACUGAGAGACUAGAGUUCGGUAGGGGUAGCGGGAAUUCCCAGUGUAGCGGUGAAAUGCGUAGAUAUUGGGAAGAACAUCGGUGGCGAAGGCGCGCUACUGGACCGAAACUGACACUCAGGGACGAAAGCUAGGGUAGCGAAAGGGAUUAGAUACCCCUGUAGUCCUAGCUGUAAACGAUGGAAAC
rnacentral:rRNA from 1 species